GGGAGUGGCAGACGGGUGAGUAACACGUGGGAACGUACCCUUUGGUUCGGGACAACUCUGGGAAACUGGAGCUAAUACCGGAUACGCCCUUUUGGGGAAAGGUUUACUGCCGAAGGAUCGGCCCGCGUCUGGUUAGCUAGUUGGUGGGGUAACGGCCUACCAAGGCGACGAUCAGUAGCUGGUCUGAGAGGAUGAUCAGCCACACUGGGACUGAGACACGGCCCAGACUCCUACGGGAGGCAGCAGUGGGGAAUAUUGGACAAUGGGCGCAAGCCUGAUCCAGCCAUGCCGCGUGAGUGAUGAAGGCCUUAGGGUUGUAAAGCUCUUUUAUCCGGGACGAUAAUGACGGUACCGGAGGAAUAAGCCCCGGCUAACUUCGUGCCAGCAGCCGCGGUAAUACGAAGGGGGCUAGCGUUGCUCGGAAUCACUGGGCGUAAAGGGCGCGUAGGCGGCGUUUUAAGUCGGGGGUGAAAGCCUGUGGCUCAACCACAGAAUGGCCUUCGAUACUGGGACGCUUGAGUCUGGUAGAGGUUGGUGGAACUGCGAGUGUAGAGGUGAAAUUCGUAGAUAUUCGCAAGAACACCGGUGGCGAAGGCGGCCAACUGGACCGGCACUGACGCUGA
rnacentral:rRNA from 1 species